UAUAUAUAUAUAUAUAUAUAUUCUAAUACCCUUAGUGAUUACUUGGGGUAAAAAGCUAACUUGGAAGAGUGUUGGUCUUGGAUUCAAAACACCAAGAAAAGCUAUCAAAGGUACUUAAAUUGACAAGAAGUGUCCUUUUACUGACGAUGUCUCCAUUAGCAGGAGAUGUUGCUGAAAGGGUCUUGUUGAUAUGUGUAGUGUCAAGCAAAGUAGCUCGAAUGUUGUGAAUGUGGUCAUCAAGUUCAUUUGGUUCUACUACUAUUUGUUGAUGACUUUCAUCUCCUUCACAUUUGAUGUAUUACAUUUAUGUACUAUUGGAAUGAUUACUUGUAUAACAUUAAUUUUGUGCAAUGGAAUGUAUUUUUUGUA